CAAUAGCGUAUAUUAAAGUUGUUGCGGUUAAAAAGCUCGUAGUUGGAUUUCUGCUGAAGGCAGCCGGUCCAUGUUCGACAUGCGCAUCUGGAUUGACUUCGGCAUCCUCUCAGAUAACGAUUCUGUGCUUGAUUGCAUGGAGCGGAGUUUGAGACUUUUACUUUGAGGAAAAUAGAGUGUUCACGGCAGGCAAUCGCCCUGAAUAUAUUAGCAUGGAAUAAUAAAAUAGGAUCUUGGUUCUAUUUUGUUGGUUUCUAGAACGAAGAUAAUGAUUAAUAGGGACAAUUGGGGGCAUUCGUAUUAACGCGUCAGAGGUGGAAUUCUUGGAUUGCGUUACGACGAACUACUGCGAAAGCAUUUGCCAAGGAUGUUUNCAUUGA
rnacentral:rRNA from 1 species